CGAACUACACAACCUUCCUACAAAGUGGGGAAGUAGCCCAGAGAAAUUUGGAUUAAUACCCGUAACAUAUAAAGAUGGCAUCAUUUUUAUAUUAUAGCUACGGCGCUUGUUGAUGGGUGUGCGGCUGAUUAGGUAGUUGGCGGGGUAAUGGCCCACCAAGCCUGCGAUCAGUAGCUGAUGUGAGAGCAUGAUCAGCCACACGGGCACUGAGACACGGGCCCG
rnacentral:rRNA from 1 species